CCUACGGGCGGCAGCAGUGGGGAAUAUUGCACAAUGGGCGCAAGCCUGAUGCAGCCAUGCCGCGUGUGUGAAGAAGGCCUUCGGGUUGUAAAGCACUUUCAGCGGGGAGGAAGGCGUUAAGGUUAAUAACCUUGGCGAUUGACGUUACCCGCAGAAGAAGCACCGGCUAACUCCGUGCCAGCAGCCGCGGUAAUACGGAGGGUGCAAGCGUUAAUCGGAAUUACUGGGCGUAAAGCGCACGCAGGCGGUCUGUCAAGUCAGAUGUGAAAUCCCCGGGCUCAACCUGGGAACUGCAUUCGAAACUGGCAGGCUAGAGUCUUGUAGAGGGGGGUAGAAUUCCAGGUGUAGCGGUGAAAUGCGUAGAGAUCUGGAGGAAUACCGGUGGCGAAGGCGGCCCCCUGGACAAAGACUGACGCUCAGGUGCGAAAGCGUGGGGAGCAAACAGGAUUAGAUACCCCGGUAGUC
rnacentral:rRNA from 1 species